rnacentral:rRNA from 1 species
AUACGAAAGGUGCAAGCGUUGUUCGGAUUUACUGGGCGUAAAGAGAGUGUAGGUGGUUUAUUAAGUCGGAUGUGAAAUCCCGGGGCUCAACCUCGGAACUGCAUUCGAUACUGAUAGGCUAGAGUUUGGGAGGGGGAAGCGGAAUUCCGUGUGUAGCAGUGAAAUGCGUAGAUAUACGGAGGAACACCUGAGGCGAAGGCGGCUUACUGGACCAAUACUGACACUGAGACUCGAAAGCGUGGGUAGCAAACAGGAUUAGAAACCCCUGUAGUCC